rnacentral:lncRNA from 1 species
GAUUUUUCAUUACCAUUCACUGGUGUAGCAACAGGAGUCUUAGGGGUCUUCACUUCCUCCUCUUCCUCAGAGGAAGAGCUGUCUGAUGAGCUGCUCUCUGGCUUUCCCUUGGCUGUGGCAGCUGGUGUAGACUUCGGUGCAGGCGUGGUCUUGACAGCUGCCUUUGUCGUAGCCUCCUCUUCUUCAGAGCUGUCGUCUUCACUGGAGGAAGACUCUGCAGGUUUGGUGACGGGGGUCUUGGCUGUGGAGGCGGGAGUUUUGGGCGUCGCCGGUUUUCCGUUGGCCACUGCAGGCUUGGCUGGAGUCGUCUUUGUAGUUUCGGUCUCUGAGUCUGAGCUGUCCGAGUCUGAGCUGCUGCUUUCAGCCUUCUUAGCACUGGCUGGGGUUACAGCAGGCUUUGGGAGAGCAGCAGACUUUCCUUUCUUCUCCUCUUUCUCCUCCUCCUCUUCCUCGCUGGAGCUGUCAGAGUCGGAGCUGUCGGCCUGGGCGGUGGGUUUAGCAGCAGCAGCAGCAGGUGCAGCUUUGGUCGUAGGAGUGGCUGCAGCAGGUUUAGCAGUUUUAGCCGCGGGAGCCUCAUCCUCAGAGUCUGAACUGUCACUGUCUGAAUCUGAGCUCUCUGCUGGUUUAGCUGCUGGUUUGACUGGGGCUGGCACAGUGGCUGGCUUGGCAGCGGGAGUGGCUUUCUUAGGAGGUUCCUCAUCUUCAGAGGAGCUGUCAGAGUCUGAGCUGCUCUCAGCUGCCUUGGCUGCAGACUUAGGCGUGGCCGCGGGCUUGGGCGUGGCUGUGGCCUUUGGUGUGGCCGCGGGCUUGGGUGUGGUCACGGGCUUGCUGGGAGCCUCAUCUUCUGAACUGUCAGAAUCUAUGAGGCAAACAAUACAAAUAUUAUUAAUAUAUUUGAAUAUUUGCAUUAAUACAAUUAUAUUCCGCUGUUGGAAAAAGACCACUAAUUUUAUAUAUUUCAACAGCCCUUCCCUAACAAAGGUUCUGGAUCAGUCCUGGGCAGUGUUUUCAGCCGUUAGGAUUUCCACAUCUGUCCCACAUCAUCAGUAA